GGGCAGAUUGCUUUGACCCUAGCAACAGAUGAUGCCUGAAAUCUGAUUGGUUAAAUGAUUUAAUAUGAAAAAAACAUGUCUGGAAGCAGCGCAGCCACGGGAAGACUAUGAAAGGAACGGAACAUACCGUUUGGAAUCAUUUACUCUGUUUCCUGGAUGCGUUCCGGAACCUCAUGACUUACAAAUUAAACACUGGACAGGAGGACAGAGAGACAGGAGGACAGAGAGACAGGAGGACAGAGUAAGAAGACAGCAGAGGUUCCACCGUCCUUCAGGUAGAACCGACGCUCCAGAACCUGAUCCGAGGGACACGGUGUGGUUCUGCCGGGACUGAGGAGAACCCGGGGUGGACGGCUGACCCGGGGACGUGGAGGUGAGACGGAGACGCUGCAGCCUCAUGACCCACGUCCCGGUAAUGAGAUCAGGUCCUCGGAACCUUCAGGAACCGUAAUGAGAGGAAUGCUGGGAGUCACGGCGCCGCAAAGUGGAAACAGCUGAUGUUUACCCAGGCGCCGCGCCCGGAGAACCACGAGGAGAACCACAGAGGAGAACCACGAGGAGAACCACAGAGGAGAACCACAGAGGAGAACCACAGAGGAGAACCGCAAGGAGAACCACAGAGGAGAACCACAGAGGAGAACCACAGAGGAGAACCACAGAGGAGAACCGCAGAGGAGAACCGCAAGGAGAACCGCAAGGAGAACCGCAGAGGAGAACCACAGAGGAGAACCGCAGAGGAGAACCGCAAGGAGAACCGCAAGGAGAACCGCAGAGGAGAACCACAGAGGAGAACCACAGAGGAGAACCACAGAGGAGAACCACAGAGGAGAACCGCAAGGAGAACCGCAGAGGAGAA